GGUGAACAAAUAGCAUAUAAUGAACACUCAGAGUUCUCAUAAAUACCACAUUUGGUUCUGUGACACUGAGAAGAAGGCCCAGCCUAAAAUUUUAGGCCAUCAAUAAAUCUCCCUUCUACAAAUUCUUACAUUAAGGACAGAAAUGCACACGGGCCACUUGGUGAAGAAUGGCUUCAACAGAAGACUUUAAAAGAGGUGGUCAAUUGGGCUUAUCAUACAAUCUCAGUCACCUUCUGACCAAUAGAAUGUCCCAAUAAACAUCUGCAAAUAAAAUUCAUUAGGUCCUCCUGCAGCCUUCAGCAGCUCAUUUCAUGACGACUCCAUCCUUCCAGGUGCUCAGGCUGAACCCAGAGGCAACGCUGCCUGUCUCUUCCUCUCAAGUUCCACAGCCUAAUAUCCAAGAUGCCCAGCUCUACCUUCGAAUAAGCUCUUCCCUGAAUCCAACUCCACACCACCGCCACUCCCACCAUCCUCCUGGUCAAAGCCACUUUCACCUCUUGCCUGAACCACCAUGGAAUCUCCUGCCGGUCUCCCUGCUUCUGCCCAUGGCGCUCUUCAGUCUAUUCUCAAUACAGCAGCCAGAAUAAUCUUACUAAA